rnacentral:rRNA from 1 species
UGGGCGUAAAGAGCUCGUAGGUGGUUGGUCACGUCUGCUGUGGAAACGCAACGCUUAACGUUGCGCGUGCAGUGGGUACGGGCUGACUAGAGUGCAGUAGGGGAGUCUGGAAUUCCUGGUGUAGCGGUGAAAUGCGCAGAUAUCAGGAGGAACACCGGUGGCGAAGGCGGGACUCUGGGCUGUAACUGACACUGAGGAGCGAAAGCAUGGGGAGCGAACAGGAUUAGAUACCCUGGUAGUCCAUGCCGUAAACGUUGGGCACUAGGUGUGGGGGGCAUUCCACGUUCUCCGCGCCGGAUCUAACGCAUUAAGUGCCCCGCCUGGGGAGUACGG